rnacentral:lncRNA from 1 species
GGAAUACAUCUCAGAGGAUUUAACUAUUGCAAGAAAGACUGACAAUAAAGCUUCUACCAUGUCGACAGAACAAUAUCAUCGUUUCUGGCCGAGGGCAACUAAAACCUGUUUGGUUGCGACAGUGAAAGACAAUAAAGUAGAAAGUGUCAGGUUUAAAGAAAGUUUAACGUGGAAGCUAAGGAAGUAUCAUGUGGUUCUUCGGCAAUUUGUUGGCGGUUUGUGUUUAAACUACGCAACAAGGAGUACGCCCUGAAUGUAGACAACAACAACACUGUAACUGCAGUGGAGGUUCCUGAUGAAGAUGGAUCAAAAAAGGGAACACAUUUUGUGCCAACAAACUCAGUUAAAUUUCAAGAAUUCGUAUGGGAAAUGAAGUCCGAUGACACGAGCCAACUGUCUGGGAAGUACAUCGCUGUUGAUGAAGAAGGACGUUUAUCGGUGAUACCACCUCGCCAUUUUGUACAAAAAUCAGUAUGUUCGGAGGAGAAAGAAACACAAUGAAAAAAACAAAAAAACAAAACAAACAAGACUGUUAAAAUGUUAACAAAUACGCUUUAUGUAAACGGAACAGCUGAAUACAUUUCUAGAUAUUCCGUUUUCUUAUUGAGAUGAAAGAAAAAAAUGCAUAUCGUAACAGCUUCAAGGUUGAAAAUAUAAGGCUGUAAUUAAUAUAAUCAUUUGAAUUAAAGAGAAAUUGAGA